rnacentral:rRNA from 1 species
UGUCUUUUAAAUGAAGACCCGUAUGAAUGGCAUAACGAGGGCUUAACUGUCUCCUUCCCCCAGUCAAUGAAAUUGAUCCCCCCGUGCAGAAGCGGGGAUAACAACAUAAGACGAGAAGACCCUGUGGAGCUUUAAAUCACGAGCAGACCAUGUCAAGAACAACAAACAAGAGCAUUAAACAAAUUGGCCACUGUUCAUGUAUUUUUGGUUGGGGCGACCGCGGGGCAAUAAACAACCCCCAUGUGGACUAAGAAAACAUUCUUAAAACUAAGAGCCCCUGCUCUAAGUAACAGAAAUUCUGACCUUAAUGAUCCGGCCUGGCCGAUCAACGGACCCAGUUACCCCAGGGAUAACAGCGCAAUCCUCUUCUAGAGCCCAUAUCGACAAGGGGGUUUACGACCUCGAUGUUGGAUCAGGACAUCCUAAUGGUGUAGCCGCUAUUAAGGGUUUGUUUGUUCAACAAUUAAAGU